ACGAUGUGUGCGUGUGCAUCAAUUCUGAAAUAUAUAUGUUCUGCUGCAUGAGCUGAAGGCUAUUGUUUUGGACGCCUUAACAGAUUCCCAAAUUCCUCCCAUGCACUGAACUACAGGGAAAUGAAUUUGAGGACAGGGCUCUUCAGACAUUUUCCUUGUUGUUGUGUUAUCUAUUCUCCUUGCUUCUGUUUUUUCCCCCGCUUCUGCUUCUCUGCUUAAUACCUUUGCUUCUGCUUCUCUGCUUAAUACCUCUCAACGUCCUCGAACAGCCUUGUCUGAUUUCUAUUUUUUUCCUCACCUUUUUUUUUUACCCGGUUUCCUUUAAGCUGCUUGCAGCAGUUUCGGUUUGCUUACACCAGUAUUAAUCAGUUCUGUUCUGGGUUUCGAUUUAUUUAUU
rnacentral:lncRNA from 1 species